AAAAAGCCAAUGACAAUGCACAAUCCAAACAUCAAAUAAUAGCCAUUGAAAUGAGUGAAAGCAGUUGAAUCUCUUUCGAAAACUGGUUAACUCCAACAGUUUCAUUCAUCUCCUGAAAAAUCCAGUCAAAGAUUUGAAAAGUCAAUGUGACACAUCGGAC